UUGAAAGGGAAACGAUUGAAGUCAGUCGUACUCAUGGGUAAUCAACCUUUCUGGCGCGAUUAUGUGGGCGUGUUGGAGCCUAACUGGUCCUCGCGUUUUUAUAUUCGUUCCCUUUGGGGUGUACUUGCCCGUGCGGUAGGUUAACAUCAAUUUCGGACGUCAUAAAAUGACGGGAGGAAUGUAGCUUUGGUCUUGUACUGAAGUGUUAUAGCCUCUGGUAGAUGUGACGUUUGGGAUUGAGGAUUGCAACGGAUACCUCUCGGGGCUACCUGUCUGGCCUCUGAUGAUUGCUAUGGUGCCGAAAGCUUGCUUAUGGUCAUCAAAGUUGAUUGUCAAAAGGUUAGAACGGGUUAAAUUCGUUAAGGAUGUUGACGUA
rnacentral:rRNA from 1 species